UCAUCUUCGGGGGUAGAGCACUGUUUCGGCUAGGGGGUCAUCCCGACUUACCAACCCGAUGCAAACUACGAAUACCGAAGAAUGUUAUCACGGGAGACACACGGCGGGUGCUAACGUCCGUCGUGAAGAGGGAAACAACCCAGACCGCCAGCUAAGGUCCCAAAGUCAUGGUUAAGUGGGAAACGAUGUGGGAAGGCCCAGACAGCCAGGAUGUUGGCUUAGAAGCAGCCAUCAUUUAAAGAAAGCGUAAUAGCUCACUGGUCGAGUCGGCCUGCGCGGAAGAUGUAACGGGGCUAAACCAUGCACCGAAGCUGCGGCAGCGACACUAUGUGUUGUUGGGUAGGGGAGCGUUCUGUAAGCCGUUGAAGGUGGCCUGUGAGGGUUGCUGGAGGUAUCAGAAGUGCGAAUGCUGACAUAAGUAACGAUAAUGCGGGUGAAAAACCCGCACGCCGGAAGACCAAGGGUUCCUGUCCAACGUUAAUCGGGGCAGGGUGAGUCGACCCCUAAGGCGAGGCCGAAAGGCGUAGUCGAUGGGAAACAGGUUAAUAUUCCUGUACUCGGUGUUACUGCGAAGGGGGGACGGAGAAGGCUAUGUUGGCCGGGCGACGGUUGUCCCGGUUUAAGCAUGUAGGCGGAUGUUCCAGGUAAAUCCGGAACGUUAUUAACGCUGAGGUGUGAUGACGAGGCACUACGGUGCUGAAGUGACAAAUGCCCUGCUUCCAGGAAAAGCCUCUAAGCAUCAGGUAACAUCAAAUCGUACCCCAAACCGACACAGGUGGUCAGGUAGAGAAUACCAAGGCGCUUGAGAGAACUCGGGUGAAGGAACUAGGCAAAAUGGUGCCGUAACUUCGGGAGAAGGCACGCUGAUGGUAGGUGAAGUGACUUGCUCAUGGAGCUGAAAUCAGUCGAAGAUACCAGCUGGCUGCAACUGUUUAUUAAAAACACAGCACUGUGCAAACACGAAAGUGGACGUAUACGGUGUGACGCCUGCCCGGUGCCGGAAGGUUAAUUGAUGGGGUUAUCCGUAAGGAGAAGCUCUUGAUCGAAGCCCCGGUAAACGGCGGCCGUAACUAUAACGGUCCUAAGGUAGCGAAAUUCCUUGUCGGGUAAGUUCCGACCUGCACGAAUGGCGUAAUGAUGGCCAGGCUGUCUCCACCCGAGACUCAGUGAAAUUGAACUCGCUGUGAAGAUGCAGUGUACCCGCGGCAAGACGGAAAGACCCCGUGAACCUUUACUAUAGCUUGACACUGAACACUGGUCCUUGAUGUGUAGGAUAGGUGGGAGGCUUUGAAGUGUGGACGCCAGUCUGCAUGGAGCCAUCCUUGAAAUACCACCCUUUAAUGGCUGGUGUUCUAACGUGGGCCCGUAAUCCGGGUUGCGGACAGUGUCUGGUGGGUAGUUUGACUGGGGCGGUCUCCUCCUAAAGAGUAACGGAGGAGCACGAAGGUCAGCUAAUCCUGGUCGGACAUCAGGAGGUUAGUGCAAUGGCAUAAGCUGGCUUGACUGCGAGCGUGACGGCGCGAGCAGGUGCGAAAGCAGGUCAUAGUGAUCCGGUGGUUCUGAAUGGAAGGGCCAUCGCUCAACGGAUAAAAGGUACUCCGGGGAUAACAGGCUGAUACCGCCCAAGAGUUCAUAUCGACGGCGGUGUUUGGCACCUCGAUGUCGGCUCAUCACAUCCUGGGGCUGAAGUAGGUCCCAAGGGUAUGGCUGUUCGCCAUUUAAAGUGGUACGCGAGCUGGGUUUAGAACGUCGUGAGACAGUUCGGUCCCUAUCUGCCGUGGGCGCUGGAGAAUUGAGGGGGGCUGCUCCUAGUACGAGAGGACCGGAGUGGACGCAUCACUGGUGUUCGGGUUGUCAUGCCAAUGGCAUUGCCCGGUAGCUAAAUGCGGAAGAGAUAAGUGCUGAAAGCAUCUAAGCACGAAACUUGCCCCGAGAUGAGUUCUCCCUGACCCUUUAAGGGUCCUGAAGGAACGUUGAAGACGACGACGUUGAUAGGCCGGGUGUGUAAGCGCAGCGAUGCGUUGAGCUAACCGGUACUAAUGAACCGUGAGGCUUAACCUUACAACGCCGAAG
rnacentral:rRNA from 1 species